rnacentral:rRNA from 1 species
UACACUCCUACGGGAGGCAGCAGUGGGGAAUAUUGCACAAUGGGCGCAAGCCUGAUGCAGCCAUGCCGCGUGUAUGAAGAAGGCCUUCGGGUUGUAAAGUACUUUCAGCGGGGAGGAAGGCGAUAAGGUUAAUAACCUUGUUGAUUGACGUUACCCGCAGAAGAAGCACCGGCUAACUCCGUGCCAGCAGCCGCGGUAAUACGGAGGGUGCAAGCGUUAAUCGGAAUUACUGGGCGUAAAGCGCACGCAGGCGGUCUGUCAAGUCGGAUGUGAAAUCCCCGGGCUCAACCUGGGAACUGCAUUCGAAACUGGCAGGCUAGAGUCUUGUAGAGGGGGGUAGAAUUCCAGGUGGAGCGGUGAAAUGCGUAGAGAUCUGGAGGAAUACCGGUGGCGAAGGCGGCCCCCUGGACAAAGACUGACGCUCAGGUGCGAAAGCGUGGGGAGCAAACAGGAUUAGAAACCCUAGUAGUCCC